CUGUACCUCACAGUCAGCAGCAGACCCUCCCUCCCAGACCCUCCCACCUCCUGGACAGCAUCCAUUGUGAAGCUGCAUUCUUAGUGAGCUGUCCAGGAGGUGGGAGGGUCUGGGAGGGAGGGUCUGCUGCUGAUUGGCUGGAAUGU